UACGUAGGGGGCUAGCGUUGUCCGGAAUCAUUGGGCGUAAAGCGCGUGUAGGCGGUUCGGUAAGUCCGCUGUGAAAGUCGGGGGCUCAACCCUCGGAUGCCGGUGGAUACUGUCGGACUAGAGUACGGAAGAGGCGAGUGGAAUUCCUGGUGUAGCGGUGAAAUGCGCAGAUAUCAGGAGGAACACCCGUGGUGUAGACGGCCUGCUGGACCGUGACUGACGCUGAGGCACGAAAGCGUGGGGAGCAAACAGG
rnacentral:rRNA from 1 species